rnacentral:tRNA from 1 species
GGUAAGAUGGCCGAGCGGUCUAAGGCGCCAGGUUAAGGUUACCUUAACGAGUAAUUCCUGGUCCAGGUAACUGGGCGUGAGUUCGAAUCUCACUCUUAUCA